AUCGUGCAAUGAAAGCAGUGGAAGCCGAAGCAUGAAGUCCAUGGUGAAAUAAGAGGUGGAAUUAUUCAAUAUCGAUGUUUCGAGCGAAUAUGAGCAGCAUGGUUGCACGCAAAAUUUACUACAAUUAUUUUUCCAAACUAUUGUAUGCCUUAAUUGAUGGUAAGUAUUUAGUAUUUGGCAAAGUAUCUAUAUUCAUAUACCAUGAUUAUCGAUUGUUGAACCAAAUUCAUUAUUUUUGGGUCUCUUUUAGAAGGAACAACUAUGUCAUUGUUCAAAUUGCUAUACUUAGACGGUUUUACUGACGGUGCUAAUGUAUUCUUUAUUUGUUUCAUCCAUCAUUAUCAUGCAGGGAGGUAUAGGUUGUCGAUGAUGAUUAUGCAUUUGUUGAUGAUAUAUUUGUGUAUAGAGUUAGUAUGCUUUUCAAGUUGCUUUACCGAAACAUCCUUCAACAAACAACUUCUUUGGCAUGCUUGUAGGAAGACUAAUUGUUGGGAUUGGCUUGGGCUUGGGCCCUGUUGUUGCUGCUCUGUAUGUAACAGAGGUAUGUAAAUGUUUGCCUCUAUUUCAUUGGCAAGGAUAAAAGUAUAGUGGUUAUUCAUGUAAUUACUAUAUCGAAUAAUAGGUUUCUCCUGCUUUUGUGCGUGGUUAUAUAUCAAAGAGAUUUUUGGAUGGUAUGAUAUAAAUCUUAAAUUCAUAUUAUCUUAUAUUUAUAUUUCAUCUUUUCUAAAACAUGUCCUGAAUUUGUUAAUUCAGGUGGCUGGUUUGUUUUUGGGUGGGUAUCUACCAUACAUGCGUCUUCUGUGCAGAAAGUCCACAUUGGUUAUACAAGGUUGACACCUAAUACUAUUUCAU